GCGGGUAUAACUCAGUCCGGUCAGAGUGUCAGCCUUCCAAGCUGUUCGUCAUCGGUUCAAAUCCGAUUACCCGCU
rnacentral:tRNA from 1 species